UUGAAUCAUACUACACCGGCUCCGACACUCGACAGAUGUGGCAGGGCUCGCAAAACUAUUACAGACUACAAAGGGAAGCACAGCCACAAGCUGCACAGUGACACGAGCUAAAUUCCUUCUAUGCUCGCUUCGAGGCAAGAAACAAUGAAACAUGAAUGAGAUCAUCAGCUGUUCCGGAUGACUGUGUGACCACACUCUCCACAGCCGAUGUGAGAAAUACCUUUAUAAACUUUAUAAACAGGUCAAUAUUCACAAGGCCGCAUAGCCAGACGGGCGGCAGGGUAGCCUAGUGGUUAGAGCAUUGGUCUAGUAACCGGAAGGUUGCAAGUUCAAAUCCCUGAGCUGACAAGGUACAAAAUCUGUCGUUCUGCCCCUGAACAGGCAGUUAACCCACUGUUCCUAGGCCGUCAUUGAAAAUAAGAAUUUGUUCUUAACUGACUUGCCUAGUAAAAUAAAGGUGUAAUUACCAGGACGUGUACUCCGAGCAUGAGCUGAUCAAUCGGCAAGUGUCUUCACUGACAUUUUCAACUUGUUCCUGAUUGAGUCUGUAAUACAUGUUUCAAGCAGAUCACCAUAGUCCCCGUGCCCAAGAACACGAAGGUAACCUGCUGUCAAGGAUCCCUCCAGAACAGAUCACCAUAGUCCCUGUGCCCAAGAACACGAAGGUAACCUGCUGUCAAGGAUCCCUCCAGAACAGAUCACCAUAGUCCCUGUGCCCAAGAACACGAAGGUAACCUGCUGUCAAGGAUCCCUCCAGAACAGAUCACCAUAGUCCCCGUGCCCAAGAACACAAAGGUAACCUGCUGUCAAGGAUCCCUCCAGAACAGAUCACCAUAGUCCCCGUGCCCAAGAACACGAAGGUAACCUGCUGUCAAGGAUCCCUCCAGAACAGAUCACCAUAGUCCCCGUGCCCAAGAACACGAAGGUAACCUGCUGUCAAGGAUCCCUCCAGAACAGAUCACCAUAGUCCCCGUGCCCAAGAACACGAAGGUAACCUGCUGUCAAGGAUCCCUCCAGAACAGAUCACCAUAGUCCCCGUGCCCAAGAACACGAAGGUAACCUGCUGUCAAGGAUCCCUCCAGAACAGAUCACCAUAGUCCCCGUGCCCAAGAACACGAAGGUAACCUGCUGUCAAGGAUCCCUCCAGAACAGAUCACCAUAGUCCCCGUGCCCAAGAACACGAAGGUAACCUGCUGUCAAGGAUCCCUCCAGAACAGAUCACCAUAGUCCCCGUGCCCAAGAACACGAAGGUAACCUGCUGUCAAGGAUCCCUCCAGAACAGAUCACCAUAGUCCCCGUGCCCAAGAACACGAAGGUAACCUGCUGUCAAGGAUCCCUCCAGAACAGAUCACCAUAGUCCCCGUGCCCAAGAACACGAAGGUAACCUGCUGUCAAGGAUCCCUCCAGAACAGAUCACCAUAGUCCCCGUGCCCAAGAACACGAAGGUAACCUGCUGUCAAGGAUCCCUCCAGAACAGAUCACCAUAGUCCCCGUGCCCAAGAACACGAAGGUAACCUGCUGUCAAGGAUCCCUCCAGAACAGAUCACCAUAGUCCCCGUGCCCAAGAACACGAAGGUAACCUGCUGUCAAGGAUCCCUCCAGAACAGAUCACCAUAGUCCCUGUGCCCAAGAACACGAAGGUAACCUGCUGUCAAGGAUCCCUCCA